rnacentral:rRNA from 1 species
AACGAACGCUGGCGGCAGGCCUAACACAUGCAAGUCGAGCGGACCUUUCGGGGUCACCGGCGGACGGGUGAGUAACGCGUGGGAAUAUGCCCUUCUCUACGGAAUAGUCCUGGGAAACUGGGGGUAAUACCGGAUACGCUCCUCGGGGGCCAGAUAUAUCGGGGGAGGUUUAGCCCGCGUUGGAUGAGGUUGUUGGUGGGGUAAUGGCCUACCAAGGCGUAGAUCCAUAGCUGGUUUGAGAGGAUGAGCAGCCACACUGGGAAUGAGACACGGCGCAGACUCCUACGCGAAGCAGCAGUGGGGAAUCUUAGACAAUGGGGGCAACCCUGAUCUAGCCAUGCCGCGUGAGUGAUGAAGGCCUUAGGGUUGUAAAGCUCUUUCAGCUGGGAAGAUAAUGACGGUACCAGCAGAAGAAGCCCCGGCUAACUCCGUG